rnacentral:rRNA from 1 species
UACGGAGGAUGCGAGCGUUAUCCGGAUUUAUUGGGUUUAAAGGGUGCGUAGGCGGGAUGCCAAGUCAGCGGUAAAAAUGCGGUGCUCAACGCCGUCGAGCCGUUGAGACUGGCGUUCUUGAGUGGGCGAGAAGUAUGCGGAAUGCGUGGUGUAGCGGUGAAAUGCAUAGAUAUCACGCAGAACUCCGAUUGCGAAGGCGGCAUACCGGCGCCCUACUGACGCUGAGGCACGAAAGCGUGGGUAUCGAACAGG